rnacentral:rRNA from 1 species
AGUGAACGCUGGCGGUAGGCCUAACACAUGCAAGUCGAACGGCAGCACCGUAAGAGCUUGCUCUUACGGGUGGCGAGUGGCGGACGGGUGAGGAAUACAUCGGAAUCUACUUUUUCGUGGGGGAUAACGUAGGGAAACUUACGCUAAUACCGCAUACGACCUACGGGUGAAAGCAGGGGAUCUUCGCACCUUGCGCGAUUGAAUGAGCCGCUGUCGGAUUAGCUAGUUGGCGGGGUAAAGGCCCACCAAGGCGACGAUCCGUAGCUGGUCUGAGAGGAUGAUCAGCCACACUGGAACUGAGACGCGGUCCAGACUCCUACGGGAGGCAGCAGUGGGGAAUAUUGGACAAUGGGCGCAAGCCUGGUCCAGCCAUACCGCGUGGGUGAAGGAGGCCUUCGGGUUGUGAAGCCCUUUUGUUGGGAAAGAAAAGCAGCAGGUUAAUACCCCGCUGUUCUGACGGUACCCAAAGAAUAAGCACCGGCUAACUUCGUG